UGCAAGUCGAACGGAGGCCCGAAGCUUGCUUCGGAUACCUUAGUGGCGAACGGGUGAGUAACACGUGGGAAUCUACCUAAAAAUGGGGAAUAACUGUUGGAAACGACAGCUAAUACCGCAUAAUCCCUUCGGGGCAAAGGCUUCGGCCGUUUUUAGAUGAGCCCGCGCUAGAUUAGGUUGUUGGUGGAGUAAUAGCCCACCAAGCCUGCAAUCUAUAGCUGGUCUGAGAGGAUGAUCAGCCACACUGGGACUGAGACACGGCCCAGACUCCUACGGGAGGCAGCAGUGGGGAAUAUUGGACAAUGGGGGAAACCCUGAUCCAGCAAUGCCGCGUGAGUGAAGAAGGCCCUAGGGUUGUAAAGCUCUUUCAGAAGUGAAGAUGAUGACUGUACUUCAGAAGAAGAUCCGG
rnacentral:rRNA from 1 species